UGUUCUUUAGCCCUGUGAUGAAGCUCAUGUGUCCCCAAAGAGGCUGUUGAAUCUAGAGUUGCUUUUAGAGUUGUAGGUGGCACAGGCCUCUACACCAUUGCAAUAGGCAGAGAGAGCUAUGAGGCAGCCUGGAGCAAGUGUUCUUGUGACUCAGGUCUGGCUCUGCACCUGUCAAUGAAGGAAUCUCAUAAUUAUCUUGUGAGUUGAUCUUAGAUAACUACUUGGCAUGUUCACCUCAAUAUCUUGAUUACCUGUGGAAAAUUUAACAUUUUAACCCCUUAGCUUAGCUUGUGUG
rnacentral:lncRNA from 1 species